UGGUUUUGUCUUAACUAGGAAUGCGCUGGUCCGAUACCACCGAAAAAUACGGGAAUCAGGUAUACCGGCAACAGCGAGUCAAUAUUGUAAUGAUCUGAUACCACGAACCAGAUUGUAAUAACAGUGUGCGGAAAACACGUGACCGCAGCUCAGAAUAGAAACCGAGGCAUCCCAAUUGGUUCCCUAUUUCCUAUAUAGUGUCAUACUAUUGGUCGGAGCCCUGGUGCACUACAGGGAAUAGGGCACCAUUUGUAACACACUCCGUCCAGAGAUCCCCAGGAACCAGAGGAGAGGGGGGCGAUGCUGCUGCAUCCCAGGGCAAGGCCUUUCAUCUGGAAGUAUUUUAGAAGUCUAUUUUGGUAUCCCGACCCUCGCCAGCCAACCUGACCGCCUCUCUGGAUUAUUCCCAACGUACUGCGGCUUCUGAUCUGCAUUCAUACCCAGUUAUCAACCUUCUUACUUCAUUCCAGGCUGUCCCUUUAUAUACCUUUGCUACUCCCUCAUAAAGGUCCUGCACUCUGAGCUUGGAUCCAUCCCCCCAUCCAACCUGCUCUGUGUGCAUUCAUUACAGAAUAUAUAAAAAAUAAAAAUGAUUUGCUAACAAAGAUAAUAUAAAAACAAUCUGAAAUUCUAUAAGAAUU